UACGUAUGGUGCAAGCGUUAUCCGGAUUUACUGGGUGUAAAGGGAGCGCAGGCGGUCUGGCAAGUCUGAUGUGAAAGCCCGGGGCUCAACCCCGGGACUGCAUUGGAAACUGUCAAACUAGAGUGUCGGAGAGGUAAGUGGAAUUCCUAGUGUAGCGGUGAAAUGCGUAGAUAUUAGGAGGAACACCAGUGGCGAAGGCGGCUUACUGGACGAUAACUGACGCUGAGGCUCGAAAGCGUGGGGAGCAAACAGG
rnacentral:rRNA from 1 species